rnacentral:tRNA from 3 species
GCCGCACUAGCUCAGUUGGUAGAGCACAUCAUUCGUAAUGAUGGGGUCGGGGGUUCGAAUCCCUCGUGCGGCACCA